rnacentral:misc_RNA from 1 species
AAGACUAUAGACCUGCGGAGUACCUGCGGAAGGAUCAUUACAUGGCGGAGGAGGUGGGCACCUAGUAAAACAAAACCCUAGGUGUGUUGCCUACCACGCUUUCUACCCUUGUCUAUUUGCACCUUUUGUCGUUCCCUCGGUGGGUCUUGAACCUGCCGGCGGCAACUUUCAAAAACCUUUUGUAGUUAGUAUCUAAUUCUUCUGAUCAAAUAUUCAAUCGUUACAACUUUCAGCAACGGA